UUGUCUUACCCAUUUCUCUACCGUAAGACAUUUUCCCUUUCUCCUUUCUCUUCUAAGCAAAUUUUCUUCCACAUCCUCAUCUCCGUUCAUCACCUCCCCUCACCAUCUCCGUCCGUCAUCUCCGUCGACCGUCGACCUUACUUCAAUUUUGAAGAAACCCUAAAAAAUUGGCAGGCACAGUCAAAAAAAGAAAACCCAGAAGCAGUGGUUCUCUCUCUGUCAUCAACAGGUAUUUUUUCUGUUAAUUUUCACUGAUUUGAUUGGUGGAUCGGGUCUGGUUCUUGCUUUUUUCUUGCUAGAUGGUAGCUUGUGCAUUGUUGCAUAACAUCAAGCCUAUUGAUGAAAUCCUUAAGGGAUAUAUUAGGGUAAUAAGAAUGGCGAAUUAGGAAAUCUGGGCUCAAUGUUAAAGUUUUACAUUUCCUUAAGAAUGGCGACAAAUCUUUGUAAUGUUUAAGCACUUGACCAUUUUCAAUUUAGAGUUUAGAAUUUUGUUCACGUUCUUAGUUCAGUUCAUCUGUUUCUAAAAGAGAACUUGAAGACAUGAGAUGGGUGAUUCAAACGUUCACCUGUGAACUCAUUGAAAGUAAUCUGAAUGUAAGGAUAGACAAAACUAAGCAAUCCUUGGGAGUAUUUUUCGAUAUAGCCUCAAAAUUGGUAUGGGAAAUACUGCUUGAAAACUGCCCAAACAAACAUUUAAAGUGGCAAAUAUGAAGCCUAGGUGAGGAAUCAUGUCUGUAGGGAUUUCUUAUUGGUUGCUCAUUACAGUUAGUCUGAAAGCAAGAGAGAAAUAUCAAUUCCAUUGACAUGGUUACUGCUCUAUUUCUUGCCAACUGGAAUAGCCACCCUUUUAGAAAGAAAGAGAAAACUGAUGAAAUAUUAAUGCAUAUUGGAUAUUCAUGAAUAUUGAUUAACUAUUGCAGAUAUAAUGGUGCAUAAUGGUAUUUGUUUCUGUAAAUUACUAAUUUGCUUCAAUUUGUUUCGGUGUUAAAUUGUGUACUUGUUAUUCGUCUGAAGGUGUCUUGAUUCUUUCUCUAUUUAUGAAGUUUAUUUAGAAUAGCUUACUUGUCCAAUGCCUCAAGGAACUUCAACUUUCUGAUUUCAAAAUAAAAUAAAUCUUUAUUUUUUGAUCUAUAUAUAGUUAUAUGUUAGAUUGGGAUCCCUAUACCAAUAUAAGUGCAUGCAGACCCACCCUUCAUUUUCUCCAUUACUUUUUUUAUGAUGUGGAUCGAGAGCUACGCCUAGGGGGAUCUGCGGUGUGGCGGAGCUAAGCUACCCAAAGAUUGUAUUUAUAGAGGAAUGAAUGGAGAAAAUUUUGGUGUAGAGUAGUCCGUGAACCCUUAAUAUGCUUUGGGUAGUGUCGGGUUUUGAGAUUAUUGUAAAUAUCUACUAUAUUGAUGUAAAAUUAAAAUAAUUUUAUACACUUUACAAUUUAUACUAUUAAUAUUUUAGCAUCCUGUUUUAUGGUACAUUAAUAUAGAUAAUCGUGUAAAAUUUGAAGUAAAUUAAUAUUAUCUACUAUAUGGAAAAGAAAAAUAACUUCAAUCGUAUAUACCAUACUUAAAUAUAUCCAAUCAAAAACUAUAUGCAUUAUAUUGAUGCUGUAAGAUUUGCUAAAAUAGAG
rnacentral:lncRNA from 1 species